GGAGGGUACAGCUCAAGUGGUAGAGCGCAUGCUUAGCAUACAUGAGGCCCUGGGUUCAAUCCCCAGCACCUCCA
rfam:Camelus ferus unplaced genomic scaffold scaffold2080, whole genome shotgun sequence.